CGGAACGUGGCGCAGCCCGGUAGCGCACCUGAAUGGGGUUCAGGGGGUCGCGGGUUCGAAUCCCGCCGUUCCGACAA
rnacentral:tRNA from 1 species